GGAUGUGAGGGCGAUCUGGCUGCGACAUCUGUCACCCCAUUGAUCGCCAGGAUUGAUUCGGCUGAUCUGGCUGCUAGGCGGGUGUCCCCUUCCUCCCUCAAUGAUCCAUGUGCGUCCUUCCCGAAGCUGCGCGCUCAGUCGAAGAGGAUGACCACCCCCGACACAGGAGGACCAUUCCUCAGUCAAGGGUAUACGAGUAGCUGUGCUCCCCUGCUAGAACCUCCAAACAAGCUCCCAAGAAAUUCAGAGGAGCACUGCACAAAAGCCUUAUUGCAUG
rnacentral:snRNA from 1 species